rnacentral:lncRNA from 13 species
AUUGCCAGUGUUUAUUGUUGGAGUUCUUUUGAAUCUUGAACUCUAUGUAUCAUCAUUUUGAAACAUAAUUACUUCCGUCCUGAUGUAUGAGCAUGCACAGAUGAAUACUGAGUAUUCUCUCCAUGUCAGGCACGAUGUUACAUGCUUCAAGUGUGGUUCACUAACCUCACAACUGCUGCUUGGGAUGAUGUGAGUCUUAUCCCUAUUUUACAGAGGAGGACACUUUGAUCAGAGAAGUGCAAGUCACAGCCACGUAAAUGAUAUAACUGGGAUUUUCAUCCUGGUGUUCUGGCUUUAGACCCCAAGUUUCUAACCACUAUGCCACAUUCCCUGUCUAGUGUCUCCUACCAGAUGACCAGAUAAGUGAUUGCCUAUUAUUUAUUUCUUUUUCCCACUCCAUCCUAGCAUGAUUCAUUAAACAUAGUAUGCAUGCAAAGCAUGUUAAAUGAAUGACAGAAUCAGUGACAGAAAACUGUGGCUAUUUACCAUCUUCCUUUGCUUUUGAGAAACUGAUGGCACUACAUUACCCCCGAAGCCUUUGUUUGUUGGUGAAGUGGGACUGGACAUCUGAAACAACCUGGCCAAUCAUCAUUCUCUAAUCUCCUGGUAACACUGGGUGGCUUCAGGAUUGGCAAAUAGUUGUCCCUGAGCCAACUGGAAUUCUUCCCUUGAACGUUGUCGUGUGUAAGCAGGAGAAAUCAGCAGUCUGUCAUCAGUGGCAGAAGCUUUAAGACCUAAAAUCUGGAAGUUCUUGAAGACCAUAUUUCCUGCCAUGACAAGAAAACCAGGAUGCAGACAAUGAAAAUUAACAGAAUCGACAAAGAGAAACAGAAAGAACCUACACGUGUCUCAUUGUAGAAAAUUUGGAAGUCACAGACUGAAAAAGACAGAUUCCAAUGCCAUAUUUUUGACUGGGACAAGUAGGGGUAGAACCGGUUUUUCAGCCAGGUCUUUACUCCUUAUCAGUUGGAGCAGGCAGGAUGAGGAAGACAGCCCUAGAGUCCUCAUCUUAUCCACUGUCUUCUGACCUCACUGCAAAGCUUGCUACCACUCCACAUGUCAUCUUAUUUCUGCCAGGCCUGGGCCUUAUUUUCUACCCUUCUUUUCCACUCUCUGAGGAAAUCCCAGAAGCCAUUCAGCAGUGCAGCACAUUGGUUUCUACACAAAAAUGGAAGCUGGAAGCCAGUUGUCCUUCCUGGGAUCACAGCUACACCACUUUUCUCAGCAUAUUCUGCAGGCACCCUCCUUCAUUUCCCGUUCAGAAUCAGUGUCACCAAUUUAUUUCUGACCUCCAGGAUGAAAAGCAAAAUGACCACAACAACAUCCACAAGGCACUGUGAAAAACCACCGACCAGCUGGGUGCAGUGGCCUGUGCCUGUGGUCCCAGCUCCCUGGGAGCCUGAGUUGCUUCCAGUCUUGGCAUCCCUGUUGAUACAGCCGAAUGUACACUUUGGCUUUGCUGAGCAAACAGAGGUAAUUGAUCAGACAAGUAGCCGACAGCUUGGCUUCCAUCGCACAGAUCUUCGGGAGAAUGCUCUGCUUGUUGUCUGCCUCCUGAUGCAGUAA